ensembl:snRNA LOC120098048 U6 spliceosomal RNA
GUGCUCACUCGGCUGCACAUGCACCAAAAUUGGAAUGAUACAGAGAAGAUUAGCAUGGCUCCUGGGCAAAGAUGAUGUGCAAAUUCGUGAACUAGUCCGUAUUUUG